UUACUACGUCCUUGUUAAGUAUUACCGCUCAUUUAAUAUAAAAAAAACCCAAUACCAACAGUUUUAAGUUAAAUUUUUGCUUAAACUUAUAGUUUUAAAAUGCGUUCUUUAGAAAAUGUAUAUUUCAUCAAAUUUUUUUUUUCGCCAAAAAAAAUUAAUAAUAUUUAUUUUGAAAACCAAAGUUAAAUAACUUGAGAAAUGUCCUUGAAAUAAUCCUCAAAAAUACACAUCUCCAUGACAACCAAACGUCAGUAAUACAUAAGAAAAUUGCCGGGACAAUGGUGAAGAUUGAUUAAUAAUUUAAUAAUUUCUCUUAAUGGACAUUUUAAGAGAAGCUAAAGACGGUGGGUGGAAAACGUCAGAAUCGAUAAUGGGAGAAGUACGCUCCUACCUUCUUUUUUAUCAUUCAUUUGAAAUCAACGUUGACUUGGAAUUUAAAAAAAAGUUUUGCUGAAAGUCUUCACAAUAAAACACUUUCCACGUGCGAUCAACACGUGUCCUACGUUUUAACAAUAUUGGACAGAUGCUAUACUGCUACAUCAUUUUCAAGACUUACAUAAAAAGUAGUCAUGAACGCUCUACAAAUGAUCCCACGCACUCAUUCUACUAUAAAACAUGUAAUAAGCAUUAGACGGUGAUGGAUUAAGGUUAAGUAAUUCACUGUGAAGGCGCCUCUGGACUAGGAAUACAAAUUGUUAAGUAUUCUUUUAAUAACAGGAAGAAAAUGUAAACGAGCAAAAACAAUUAAUACAUUGUUAACUAGACCGAUUGUGUAUAUGUGAUAACUCGUAACAUUCUCAAG